AUUGAACGCUGGCGGCAGGCCUAACACAUGCAAGUCGAGCGGCAGCGGGAAAGUAGCUUGCUACUUUUGCCGGCGAGCGGCGGACGGGUGAGUAAUGCCUGGGAAAUUGCCCAGUCGAGGGGGAUAGCAGUUGGAAACGACUGCUAAUACCGCAUACGCCCUACGGGGGAAAGCAGGGGACCUUCAGGCCUUGCGCGAUUGGAUAUGCCCAGGUGGGAUUAGCUAGUUGGUGAGGUAAUGGCUCACCAAGGCGACGAUCCCUAGCUGGUCUGAGAGGAUGAUCAGCCACACUGGAACUGAGACACGGUCCAGACUCCUACGGGAGGCAGCAGUGGGGAAUAUUGCACAAUGGGGGAAACCCUGAUGCAGCCAUGCCGCGUGUGUGAAGAAGGCCUUCGGGUUGUAAAGCACUUUCAGCGAGGAGGAAAGGUCAGUAGCUAAUACCUGCUGACUGUGACGUUACUCGCAGAAGAAGCACCGGCUAACUCCGUGCCAGCCGCCGCAGUAAGAC
rnacentral:rRNA from 1 species